UCAAAUCAGCAUGGCUCUUACGUCCAGGGCUACACACAUGAUACAAUGAUCAGUACAAAGGGUUGCCAAGUCGCAAGGCGGAGCUAAUCCCAAAAAACUGGUCUCAGUACGGAUUGAAGGCUGCAACUCGUCUUCAUGAAGCUGGAUUUACUAGUAAACGCGCAUCAGCUACGGCGCGUUGAAUACGUUCUCGGGUCUUGUACUCACCGCCCGUCAUACCACGAAAGUUGGCAGCACCCGAAGGCUCCGCAAGGGGACCAAGGUGAGGUCAGUAAUCAGGGUAAAGUCGUAACAAGGCAUCCGUAGCGGAAGCUGUGGAUGGAUCACCUCCUUUCUGGAGA
rnacentral:rRNA from 1 species